rnacentral:rRNA from 1 species
GACGAACGCUGGCGGCGUGCUUAACACAUGCAAGUCGAACGGAAAGGCCCUGCUUUUGUGGGGUGCUCGAGUGGCGAACGGGUGAGUAACACGUGAGUAACCUGCCCUUGACUUUGGGAUAACUUCAGGAAACUGGGGCUAAUACCGGAUAGGAGCUCCUGCUGCAUGGUGGGGGUUGGAAAGUUUCGGCGGUUGGGGAUGGACUCGCGGCUUAUGAGCUUGUUGGUGGGGUAGUGGCUUACCAAGGCUUUGACGGGUAGCCGGCCUGAGAGGGUGACCGGCCACAUUGGGACUGAGAUACGGCCCAGACGCCUACGGGAGGCAGCAGUGGGGAAUAUUGCACAGUGGGCGGAAGCCUGAUGCAGCAACGCCGCGUGCGGGAUGACGGCCUUCGGGUUGUAAACCGCUUUCGCCUGUGACGAAGCGUGAGUGACGGUAAUGGGUAAAGAAGCACCGGCUAACUACGUG